rnacentral:rRNA from 1 species
AUGCAGUCGAGCGGAAGAUGGGAGCUUGCUCCCUGAUGUUAGCGGCGGACGGGUGAGUAACACGUGGGUAACCUGCCUGUAAGACUGGGAUAACUCCGGGAAACCGGGGCUAAUACCGGAUGCUUGUUUGAACCGCAUGGUUCAAACAUAAAAGGUGGCUUCGGCUACCACUUACAGAUGGACCCGCGGCGCAUUAGCUAGUUGGUGAGGUAACGGCUCACCAAGGCAACGAUGCGUAGCCGACCUGAGAGGGUGAUCGGCCACACUGGGACUGAGACACGGCCCAGACUCCUACGGGAGGCAGCAGUAGGGAAUCUUCCGCAAUGGACGAAAGUCUGACGGAGCAACGCCGCGUGAGUGAUGAAGGUUUUCGGAUCGUAAAGCUCUGUUGUUAGGGAAGAACAAGUACCGUUCGAAUAGGGCGGUACCUUGACGGUACCUAACCAGAAAGCCACGGCUAACUACGUGCCAGCAGCCGCGGUAAUACGUAGGUGGCAAGCGUUGUCCGGAAUUAUUGGGCGUAAAGGGCUCGCAGGCGGUUUCUUAAGUCUGAUGUGAAAGCCCCCGGCUCAACCGGGGAGGGUCAUUGGAAACUGGGGAACUUGAGUGCAGAAGAGGAGAGUGGAAUUCCACGUGUAGCGGUGAAAUGCGUAGAGAUGUGGAGGAACACCAGUGGCGAAGGCGACUCUCUGGUCUGUAACUGACGCUGAGGAGCGAAAGCGUGGGGAGCGAACAGGAUUAGAUACCCUGGUAGUCCACGCCGUAAACGAUGAGUGCUAAGUGUUAGGGGGUUUCCGCCCCUUAGUGCUGCAGCUAACGCAUUAAGCACUCCGCCUGGGGAGUACGGUCGCAAGACUGAAACUCAAAAGGAAUUGACGGGGGGCCCGCACAAGCGGUGGAGCAUGUGGUUUAAUUCGAAGCAACGCGAGAACCUUACCAGGUCUUUGACAUCCUCUUGACAAUCCUAG